rnacentral:rRNA from 1 species
UACGUAGGUGGCAAGCGUUGUCCGGAUUUACUGGGCGUAAAGAGCGCGCAGGCGGUUGGAUAAGUCGAAUGUGAAAGCCCCCGGCUCAACUGGGGAGGGUCAUUCGAUACUGUCCCGACUCGAAGGCAGGAGAGGGAAGCGGAAUUCCCGGUGUAGUGGUGAAAUGCGUAGAUAUCGGGAGGAACACCAGUGGCGAAGGCGGCUUUCUGGCCUGUUCUUGACGCUGAGGCGCGAAAGCCAGGGGAGCAAAGCGGGAU